GCAGAGUAGACAAAGAGGCGUUAAGUGCUCGAUGAACGGGGAGUUGUCAUCGGGACGAAAAGUUGUUCUUGCGGUUUUCUUUGUCGCAUCCCGCUGC
rnacentral:ncRNA from 1 species